rnacentral:ncRNA from 1 species
AAGGGGGAGAGCUGGAUGACAUUGGGCGUGGCUGAGAUCAUACGGCCUUAACUUGAUCUGGAUAAUACCAGCGAAAGGAUCAUGCUCACCCCAAAU